rnacentral:rRNA from 1 species
GUCUCAGGCCGUAUCAGCCUGAAGGCGCCCGAUCUCGUCUGAUCUCGGAAGCUAAGCAGGGUCGGGCCUGGGUUAGUAUCUUGGAUGGGAGACCACCGUGGGAAUCCCGGGUGCUCGAGGCU